rnacentral:rRNA from 1 species
AGCAGCCGCGGUAAUUCCAGCUCCAAUAGCGUAUAUUAAAGUUGUUGCAGUUAAAAAGCUCGUAGUUGAAUUUCGGGAUCAAUAUGUUGGUCGUGCCUUUGGUACGUACUAGUUUAUUGGUUUCUUCCUUCUGACGAACCACGAUGUCAUUAAUUUGGUGUCAUGGGGAAUCAGGACUGUUACUUUGAAAAAAUUAGAGUGUUUAAAGCAGGCUUCACGCUUGAAUACAUUAGCAUGGAAUAAUGAAAUAGGACGUUUGAUUCUAUUUUGUUGGUUUCUAGGAUCGACGUAAUGAUUAAUAGGGAUAGUUGGGGGCAUUAGUAUUCAAUUGUCAGAGGUGAAAUUCUUGGAUUUAUUGAAGACUAACUACUGCGAAAGCAUUUGCCAAGGAUGUUUUCAUUAAUCAAGAACGAAAGUUAGGGGAUCGAAGACGAUCAGAUACCGUCGUAGUCUUAACCAUAAACUAUGCCGACUAGGGAUCGGAUGAUGUUAAUUUUUUAAUGACUCAUUCGGCGCCUUA